UAGANGAGCCNGUNNGAUAAUCGAUACCCCGCGCUUUACCUUACCCCCCCUAGAUACUCAGCCUAUAUACCGCCGUCGCCAGCCCAUCGCGCGUGAGUGAACCAUCGAGGACGCAAGAAUUAUAAACUAAAACGACAGGUCAAGGUGUAGCUUAUGGGGGGGACAGAGAUGAGCUACAUUUUCUUUACUAGAAAACACCAACCACAGGAUGAAACAUCCUGCCACCAGGCGGAUUUAGAAGUAAGCCUUGGCAAGACAGGCCAAUCUGAAUGAGCCCUGGGACG
rnacentral:rRNA from 1 species